UGAAGAAUCUUACAGAGUUUGCUCUGGUACAGCAGCUGGGGAUGCCUGGCCUUCUGAGAUUCUAGCUGCACUGCCACUUCUUCGCCGUUGGUGAUGUUGAUUGCCAGAUAGAUGUCCUCAAAGGAGCCAGAUCCGAUCUUCCAUACCAGUUUGUAUUUCCCUCCGACAAUGAAUUCGGCCUUGGAGCCGCUGCUGCUCGCCAUCCUGAGAGACGAAGAUGGAGGCUGGGGCCAAGCCCCAAAGGAGACCUCACGAGCUCCUCCACCGGGCAAGGCUACGGAGGAAGGCGGCAGGAAACGGAACACAGAGGCCUUUACCGGAGUUCGGGGCCCAGAAUCAGCCGAGGGGAACCUGAUCACCACCGCUCAGCCAGGUUUCUUUUUGCCAGGCCGCAGUUUGUGAAGGGCUUCUCAUGGCUACCAGGCUGGGCCCCUUGUUUCUCGGCGGCCGCCGAUGCCUCACUUGAGCGGCGACGUCGCGGGCAGGAAAAGGGGCGCGGUGAGCUAGGGCGGCGAUACCACUGCCAGCACUGCCGCUGGCUCCGGCCCGGAGGGACCCCUGUCACUCCACCGACGAUGCCAUCUUGUUACUCCAGCUCCAGCCAACCCAGUCCUCAGGCCUGGAGGAAGAUUCCAGAAUUUGGAGAAGAAAUGUCAGAAACACACAACUCUUUAAGAUACAGAAGGAUUAAAAAUGAUGUCUGGAGAGAACAGGCCGUGGGCACAUGAGAAAAAAAUGAACUGAGAAUCAAAAGCCCAGGUCAGGUGCAAUGGCUCAUGCCUGUAAUUCCAGCACUUUGGGAGGCCAAGGUAGGCAGAUCACUUGACGUCAGGAGUUUGAAACCAUCCUGGCCAAUAUGGCAAAACCCCAUCUCUACUAAAAAUACAAAAAACUAUCCAGGCAUGGUGGUGCAUGCCUGUAGUCCCAGCUACUUGGAAGGUUAAGACAAGAGAAUCAUUUGAACUGAGAAGGCAGAGGUUGCAAUGAGCCCAGUUCAUGCCACAGCACUCCAACCUGGGUGACAGAGGGAGACUCUGUCUCAGAAUAAAUAAUCAAAGCCUUAAGUCCUCA
rnacentral:lncRNA from 13 species